GCAGCAGCCGCGGUAAUACAGAGGGUGCGAGCGUUAAUCGGAUUUACUGGGCGUAAAGCGUGCGUAGGCGGCUUUUUAAGUCGGAUGUGAAAUCCCUGAGCUUAACUUAGGAAUUGCAUUCGAUACUGGGAAGCUAGAGUAUGGGAGAGGAUGGUAGAAUUCCAGGUGUAGCGGUGAAAUGCGUAGAGAUCUGGAGGAAUACCGAUGGCGAAGGCAGCCAUCUGGCCUAAUACUGACGCUGAGGUACGAAAGCAUGGGGAGCAAACAGGAUUAGAGACCCGAGUAGUCCCUGUCUCUUAUAC
rnacentral:rRNA from 1 species